rnacentral:rRNA from 1 species
UACGUAGGGGGCAAGCGUUAUCCGGAAUUACUGGGUGUAAAGGGUGAGUAGGCGGCAUGGUAAGCCAGAUGUGAAAGCCUUGGGCUUAACCCGAGGAUUGCAUUUGGAACUAUCAAGCUAGAGUACAGGAGAGGAAAGCGGAAUUCCUAGUGUAGCGGUGAAAUGCGUAGAUAUUAGGAGGAACAUCAGUGGCGAAGGCGACUUUCUGGACUGUAACUGACGCUGAGGCACGAAAGUGUGGGGAGCAAACAGG